AUGCAUCUAUUGGAUAGACCUACAGCAGUUACUGUCUGCUGCAAGUUUCACUGCAGAUACAAGAAAAAAAUGUCCUUGCACUUCCCGCCUGUCUGUUUGUGGCAGCCAAGAUUGAAUGGGGGAUACAGGA